UGCAGACCAAGCUGGGGACCUGAUCUGCAAAAAUCAAGGUGAAGAUUCCAAACAGAAUGCUCCCAGGAAGAGGCAGUUGAAGCUGGCCAGGGGGAAACUGAUUCUCUCUCUCUGGGGUGACUGAUCAAGAGAGAAACCUCUUCUCUGAGUGUUCCUGAUCAAAGAGACUGGCUUUUCUCAUCUAGGCAGAAAGAGACCUUUGGGUUUUGACAGAGUCUGGACUUGAAUUACUCAAGCAGAGAUUACCUGACUAAAGAAAGAAGAAAAGAAGAAAGAUACUUGUCCUCCAUACUCUCCAAUUGUCCCGGAGUCACAACUGUGACUAGACUGACAUUUUCCAUAAUUCCUCCUAUCUUUCAUUGUAGAUUAGGGACACCCUUUAUCCCCUUCACCUCAAUCCCCAUCCUGUUUGUUCCCAAUAAACCCCUUACCUGAGAAAGGAAGAGUGAAGAAUGUUUCUCUGAAAUCUCAUAGUUCCCCUGAGUUACUUAGAAGGAACGGUCCUCUCCUUUCUGAUCUUUUUGACUGCAGACUCAAUUUGACUGAUGAUUCCAUCUUUCUGCAAUCUCGUCAUUUCCUUCGUCUCCAAUGAUUUGUACAUUUUCAGUAUUUAUACCAUGUGCUAAUUUUAUAUGUGAACAAUGAUACCAGCACUCUCUACCCAAAACUUACUGAAGAUGGAGAAACCAACACAAUAGUGUCCAGUUCAAAUGCUAUUUCUUUCAUGAAGUUUUCUCUGAACUCUAGAAUGAGUAAUGACUCCUCCAUUUUGAACCUGGCUUGCAUCUCACCGAUGGAUUUAGGCAUCAUUUUUAAAGAUAGUCUAUGACAUAUCUACAAGCUGACCUUAAUAUUUAGACUUCCAGGAAGGGAGAGAAAAGGGUUUAAGUGAUCCAGUUUAUGGAGAAGUAUGGAAAUUGUGAGCUGCCUCAGAAAGAAGUGAUUCCAUGAGGAGACAUGGACAAAGCAAAUGAAGUGGAGACCAGGAGAGUUCCCAAACCUGAAGCAGAGAUAGGAAUUGGGAAUGAUGAGGAGGAAAGAUCCCAAACAACUGAGACUUACACCUAUUACAAAUCCUGUUGAACUGGGGAAGGCUGAACAAAUUGAGGCACAUGAUGGUGAUGAAAUACUAUUGUGCUAUAAGGAAUGAUGAGUGGGAUGAUUUCAGAAAGAACUGGAGAGACCUACAUGGACUAGUGCAAAGUGAAAUAAGCAGAACCUUGAGAUCAUUAUACACAGAAAUGGAAACAUUGUGGAAUCAUCAAAUAUGAUAGACUUUGCUACUAAUGAUCUAGGACAAUCCUGUGGACUUGGGGAAAAGAAUGCUAUUCAUCUCCAGAGAAAGAAAUGUUAGAGUACAAAUGCAGAUGAAAACAUAUGAUUUAUCAUUUGUUUAUUUGGGUAUAUAUUUGAGGGUUUUGCUUCUAUAAGAUAUUUGCUUACAAAAAUGAAUAAUAUGGAAAUAUUUUUUGUGUGAUUAUGCAUGUAUAACCCAGAUUGAAUUGUUUGUCAGCUCUGGGAGGUAGGAGAGAAGAGGGGAGGGAGACAAUAUAGAAAACCUAUGUGGUUAUUAAAUAAAACAAAAUUAAUAGAAUGUAAGCCUGUUUUUUUAUCCCCAUGCUUAGUGCUUAACACACAGUAUAAGCAUUUAAUAAAUUCUUUUUUUCCUAGGGAGUAUUGGACUGGCUUGAUGGGUUGAUCCAAAGACUCAAUGUAGUUUUGGGGUUGAUUUCAGUGCCCAGGGGAAGAAAUAGAAAAUCGGUCAGGGCAACUGACUAGAUGGCUAGUAUGGCUGGCUGGCUGGCUGGAAUGUGAAGCAGAAUUCUGUUUGGAGCCCAAGAGGUUUGGUCAACUAGGAGCUUUUGCUCUCACGGAUCAAGAAAACUCCAUCCUAGAACAGGACCUUCAAGGCUGAGAUGAUUGAUAUCUUUAGGGCUUUGGAUUCUGG